rnacentral:rRNA from 1 species
GACGAACGCUGGCGGCGUGCUUAACACAUGCAAGUCGAACGGAAAGGCCUCUUUCGGGGGGUACUCGAGGGGCGAACGGGGGAGUAACACGUGAGUAACCUGCCCUUGACUUUGGGAUAACUUCAGGAAACUGGGGCUAAUACCGGAAAGGAGCUCCUGCUGCAGGGGGGGGGUUGGAAGGUUUCGGCGGUUGGGGUUGGACUCGUGGCUUAUCAGCUUGUUGGUGGGGUAGUGGCUUACCAAGGCUUUGACGGGUAGCCGGCCUGAGAGGGUGACCGGCCACAUUGGGACUGAGAUACGGCCCAGACUCCUACGGGAGGCAGCAGUGGGGAAUAUUGCACAAUGGGUGGAAGCCUGAUGCAGCAACGCCGUGUGCGGGAUGACGGCCUUCGGGUUGUAAACCGCUUUCGCUCAUGACGAAGCUUUGUGUGACGGUAGUGGGUAAAGAAGCACCGGCUAACUACGUG